CUUUCUCCGCCGGCGACCGGCGCACGGGUGAGUAACACGUAUGCAACCUGCCCCUGUCAGGGGGACAACCCGCCGAAAGGCGGGGCUAAACCCGCGUACAUGCCACCGGGGCAUCCCGGAGGCAGGAAAGGCUUCGGCCGGACAGGGAUGGGCAUGCGGCGCAUUAGGCAGUAGGCGGGGUAACGGCCCACCUAACCGACGAUGCGUAGGGGUUCUGAGAGGAAGGUCCCCCACACUGGUACUGAGACACGGACCAGACUCCUACGGGAGGCAGCAG
rnacentral:rRNA from 1 species